rnacentral:rRNA from 1 species
CGGAGGGUGCAAGCGUUGUCCGGAUUUAUUGGGUUUAAAGGGUGCGUAGGCGGCCUUGUAAGUCAGUGGUGAAAGCCUCCAGCUCAACUGGAGAACUGCCAUUGAUACUGCAAGGCUUGAGUACAGACGAGGUUGGCGGAAUUGAUUGUGUAGCGGUGAAAUGCAUAGAUACAAUCAAGAACUCCGAUUGCGUAGGCAGCUAACUAGGCUGUAACUGACGCUGAGGCACGAAAGCGUGGGGAGCGAACAGGAUUAGAUACCCUGGUAGUCCACGCCGUAAACGAUGAUUACUCGAUGUUGGCGAUAAACUGUCAGCGUCUUAGCGAAAGCGUUAAGUAAUCCACCUGGGGAGUACGCCCGCAAGGGUG